rnacentral:misc_RNA from 1 species
GAUGAAGAACGCAGUGAAAUGCGAUAAGUAAUGCGAAUUGCAGAAUUCCAGUGAGUCAUCGAAUCUUUGAACGCACAUUGCGCCCGCCAGUAUUCUGGCGGGCAUGCCUGUUCGAGCGUCAUUUCAACCAUCAAGCCCUGCUUGCGUUGGGGUCCUGCGGCUGCCCGCAGGCCCUGAAAACCAGUGGCGGGCUCGCUAGUCACACCGAGCGCAGUAAUACAUCUCGCUUUGGGCGUGCGGCGGGUUCUUGCCGUUAAACACCCCCUUUUUACCAAGGUUGACCUCGGAUCAGGUAGGAAUACCCGCUGAACUUAAGCAUAUCAAUAAGCGGAGGA